rnacentral:rRNA from 1 species
UUGCACCUGAUGGCGAGUGGCGAACGGGUGAGUAACGCGUAGGAAUCUACCCAAUAGCGGGGGAUAGCCCGGGGAAACUCGGAUUAAUACCGCAUAAUCUCUACGGAGUAAAGGGGGCUUCGGCUCUCGCUAUUGGAUGAGCCUGCGUGGGAUUAGCUAGUUGGUGAGGUAAAGGCUCACCAAGGCGACGAUCUCUAACUGGUCUGAGAGGAUGAUCAGUCACACUGGAACUGAGACACGGUCCAGACUCC